rnacentral:rRNA from 1 species
UACGUAGGGGGGCGAGCGUUGUCCGGAUUUAUUGGGCGUAAAGAGCUCGUAGGCGGCUUGGCAAGUCGGGGUGUGAAACCUCCAGCUCAACCUGGAGACGCCACUCGAUACUGCCAUGGCUAGAGUCCGGUAGGGGACCACGGAAUUCCUGGGUGUAGCGGUGAAAUGCGCAGAUAUCAGGAGGAACACCGGUGGCGAAGGCGGUGGUCUGGGCCGGCACUGACGCUGAGGAGCGAAAGCGUGGGUAGCAAACAGG